UACGUAGGGUACGAGCGUUAAUCGGAAUUACUGGGCGUAAAGCGUGCGCAGGCGGUUCGUUGUGUCGGCGGUGAAAGCCCCGGGCUUAACCUGGGAGUGGCCGUUGAAACUGGCGAACUGGAGUGUGGCAGAGGGGGGUGGAAUUCCGCGUGUAGCAGUGAAAUGCGUAGAGAUGCGGAGGAACACCGAUGGCGAAGGCAGCCCCCUGGGCUGACACUGACGCUCAGGCACGAAAGCGUGGGGAGCAAACAGG
rnacentral:rRNA from 1 species